UUCGAGCGUCAUAAUGACCAAAUCACCCCCGUGGUGGACUUGGAGUUGGCCUGUACUGGCCUCUCUUAAAAUCAGUGGCGGUGCUCUGAAGCUCUACGCGUAGUAAUUUUUCUCGCGACAGGGUCUUGAUGGUACUUGCCAACAACCCCAACUAUUAUAAGGUUGACCUCGGAUCAGGUAGGGAUACCCGCUGAACUUAA
rnacentral:misc_RNA from 1 species